UUUCCAGCCAGGCUCCUGUCUAAAGUCCAGCUUUUAGCUGGACUUAGGCUAAGCCUGGCUGUUAA
rfam:Cricetulus griseus cell line CHO-K1, whole genome shotgun sequence.